UACAGAGGUCUCAAGCGUUGUUCGGAUUCAUUGGGCGUAAAGGGUGCGUAGGUGGUGGGGUAAGUCGGAUGUGAAAGCCCGGAGCUCAACUCCGGAACUGCCUUUAAGACUGCAUCGCUAGAAUCAUGGAGAGGUGAGUGGAAUUCCGAGUGUAGAGGUGAAAUUCGUAGAUAUUCGCAAGAACACCAGUGGCGAAGGCGGCUCACUGGCCCGGUACUGACGCUGAGGUGCGAAAGCGUGGGGAGCAAACAGG
rnacentral:rRNA from 1 species